ensembl:antisense Gm15241 predicted gene 15241
AGAAUUCUCAGCUCUGCCUGGGCCAUGCCUGCCUGGAUGCUGCCAUGCUCCCACCUUGAUGGUAAUGGACUGAACCUCUGAACCUACCCCAAGGAGGAGAUGAGAUAGAGAUAAACUGAAUCAUCUUUUCUUGCUAUUAUGAAGACAAAAGUCACACCAAACAAGUCUGUUUGGAUGUUAUCAAGGAUAACAGCCUCUUUAAAAUGGACCUACAAUGAAUCAUUCCUCAUAUGAGCUGAACCAAGACCACGAUGAACAUGCUGACAUUCAGUAGAAAUAUCACACAGAAAUAUCCCACAACCGUGAUAUAGAACACCACAUUGCUGUUGAUCCAGCAACUGGAUGGGGAAGAAGAGAAGAGGAAAAUAUAAUGGUGAAAAUAUGCUUGCUCCAAGUAAUGAACUGAAUCUGUAAUGUUUUGAUGAACAUGUUUUUCCCCUCAAGUAAAAAAAUAAAAAUAAAAAUAAAACAAAGA